UACAUCUGCCCUGCCGCCAGGAAGGGGUUAAUAAAUAAACAAAUAAAGUUUGAGGAUGACUUCAGCGCUUCUAUUAAUUACGGUUCUCAAAAUGAAACCCUUUAUACUAUUUGCACAAUUUCUAGCCUGAAUGCAUUGUGCCCUUGGACGGACACUGGAACUAAAUAAGACUCCUAGAUCCCUCCACACCCAAAUAUGUUAAGAUAAGUGAUCUUUAAGCAAUAAUUACGUAACGGGUUAUUCCUCCCUACACUUAGAAUGCUGACCUUUGUCAUCCCCUUAAAUUAUACACGACAGCAGCCGUUGCAAAUAGCACCUCACCCCAUAGUUAAAUGUUGGAGUAAAUUAAUAUUGAUGAUAUAUGUACAAUAUGAUUAUUUUUCUUACUCAAAAAAGCUAAUGAUGUUCAACAUCUAUCAAUAAAUAUAUAUUUGUUUUCUGUAGUUAUAAUGAAGCUUUUGGUAGCCUGCUCAACCAAUCAUCUGCAUGCAUUGAUUUGAAUCCCGGCAUUGGCACUUAGUAGGCAGCUGACCCAGCUGUGUAUACUUCUCUUCAGGAUGUUUAUUACACAGGUACAUGCUGGGGAAAAAUGGGGAAGGUAAACAGUGUUAAGGUAAAUGUUACACUGGCCCUGUAUUGGGUUAAUGGGUUCUCUCAUCACUGGUUUGAAGGGCCAACAGGACAGAGACAGCACCAGUACUAUGGGCUGUUAUAGUGGUUGUUCCAAAAUUUACUUAAUAACAAACACUGAAGAAAAUUAACUAAAAUAAUACUGCCAAGAUAAGGAAGGAAUUGUGAUUGUAACUGACUUAGUGCAAGUUGUAGUAUCACCCCAAACGUCAAGAAACAUUCAUCCAUCCCAUCCCCCAGAGUUUAAAGUGGUUAAUAUUGUCCAAUAAAUUGCAUCAGAAAAAUGAAACAGUGCAGCAGUGAUGACUUGGGCCUGUCACAACAGACCAUCAGCAAGGAUCAUCAAGGAGACAGUGUACACACUUUCAGCUGUCAGUAUACUCAGAAGAUUCAUCAAGUUCCCCACCACUUCACAAGAAACUGAGUUGAAGUAGCGGGAAUGCAGGCAGAUUGCAGGACUCAGUAGUGUCUGCCAUAAUUGAGAAAACACAUAAGCAGGGGAGAUUUGUAGGAAUUUGUUUAUAAUACCAAUGAUAUAAUUUCUAACACUAGGGUUAAAGUAAAUGAUACAUGAUCAUAGUUCUCUCUCUCUCUUUCUCUCUCUCUCUCUCAAGUAAGUCUGAAGAAAUAGCCAGCAGUAAAAUUUAUGUUAUGAGGAGGUGGGUUUUACAACUUAUAUGUGUGGAAGCUUGCCAUGUCUCCUCGUGGAGAUGGUUAGGGUUGUUUUGACGAUGUUUAAUGAUGAGGUGUAGCAUUUUUUAUGGCAUGAUACAAUGCACUGGUGUAGAGGCGGUGGCUGAUUGGUCAGCGUGAUGGUGUGGCAUUCAAGAAGACGCAGGUUCGCAUCCCGAUCGCCACGACAAAUAAGCUGGCAAUUUUUAAGUCAUCACGGAGUGGCUGAAACUGCCCACAUAAAAGACAUUAGUUUAUCCAUUUAUCUUUUUAUCUCGUCUGGGUGUAGAGAUGCGGUGUGGAGACGUGGUAAGGGGACUUUGUUAUUAUUCAUUUAUCUAUACAAAAUGUAUUCCCGUUUACUCUUCUCAUUUCCAAUCCAUUCUUCGCUUCCAGUAUCUCAGUUUCUCUUCCUCCUUAUGUCUCUUAUUCGCCGUGUAGAGAUGUGGGAUGAUAUGUUGUAAUGAAGAACUUUAGAAAAAGGAAAGUUGGAGAAUAUAUGAAAGUACAGAAGCAAUGAGGGUCAGGAGGGAGGUAUGAGAGGAAGGAGGAAAUUGGAAGAUGUAUGAGAGACGAAUAAAGAGGAAGAAUGAGAGGAGGAUAGGGAAAGAGGGAGAAGAGUAUGGAAGAACAGAAGCAACGAGGGCAAGGAGAGAGGGAAUUAGGGAAGAUUUUUUGGAGAGAGAGAGAGAUAUUUAAGAACAUAAGAACAUAGGAGUCUGCAAGAGGCCGGUAGGCCUGUACUAGGCAGCUCCUCUGAACCUAAGCUCCCGUGUAUCUAAUCCCACCUAAUAUUGCUGUCCAUGAAUUUAUCUAAUCUAUUUUUGAAUGUGACAAUUGUAUUGGCACUCACCACAUGACUGCUAAGCCUAUUCCACUCAUCCACCACCCUGGUUGUAAACCAAUUUUUGCCUAUGUCCCUGUUGAAUCUGAAUUUAUCCAGUUUAAACCCAUUACUUCGUGUCCUACCCGGUUCUCUUACCAACAAAACCUUAUGAAUGUCUCCCUUAUUAAAGCCCUUCAUCCAUUUAUAAACCUCGAUCAUGUCUCCAUGCACCCUUCGCCUUUUUAGAGAAUGCAAGUUUAACUGUUUGAGUCUUUCUUUGUAUGGCAAGUUUCUCAACCCCUGAAUCAUCUUAGUCAUCCUCCUCUGCACCGAUUCUAACAUUUUGAUAUCCAUUCUAUAGUAAGGUGACCAGAACUGAACCACAUAGUCAAGAUGAGGUCUAACUAAUGCUAAAUAUAGUUUGAGGAAGACUUCGGGGCUUCUGUUGCUUACGCUCCUUGAAAUAAAUCCCAGUACCCUAUUUGCUCGAUUUCUAGCUUGAAUGCAUUGUGCCCUUGGACGGAGAUCAGAGCUCACUAAGACCCCUAAAUCCCUCUCGCACCCAGACCUGCUUAUGAGUGUCAUUUAAGCAAUAGUUAUGUGAGGGGUUGUUCCUACCUACACUCAGAAUACUGCACUUCCCUACAUUGAACUCCAUCUGCCAUUUAUCCACCCAGUCAUGCAAUCUGCUUAGUUCACCCUGGAGAAUAUUAGCGUCCUGAUCUGACUCAAUUACUCUACCGAUCUUGGUAUCAUCUGCAAACUUACUAACAUCACUACUAAUUCCUGUAUCUAAGUCAUUGAUUUAAAUAAUAAACAAAAGUGGACCUAAUACCAAACCUUGUGGGACCCCGCUCGUAACACAUCCCCAGUCAAAUCUUUUACCAUUGAUUUGCACUCUUUGCUUUCUAUUGCUAAGCCACGCCUUGACCCAGUUCAAAACUUUACCCUCUACUCUGUGAGCCUGUAAUUUAAGCAACAGUCAUUGGUGAGGAACUUUGUCAAACGCUUUACUAAAAUCAAGAUAGAUUACAUCAUAAUUUUCAUCUGUCAACCGCCUCAAAUACUUUAUUGUAGAAGGACAAGAGAUUGGUGGGGCAUGACCUACCUUUUGUGAACCCAUGCUGCGAGUCGUGAAUUAAGCUAUGUUUCUCUAAAUGCUCCUGAAUGUUCCUGGCUAUUAUGGACUCCAGCAUCUUGCCUAUAACCGAUGUUAAGCUAAUUGGGCGAUAGUUUGAAGCAACUGACCUGUCCCCCUUUUUGAAAAUCGGUGUCACAUUAGCUACUUUCCAUAGGCUCGGCACAUAGCCAGUAUUUACCGACAUCUUAAAGAUGUCGGUUAGUGGGUCACUGAGUACAUCACCUAAUUCCUUUAAUACCCUCGGAAAUAUCCCGUCAGGACCUGGCGACUUGUUCUUCUUAAGCUUAUCUAUUUCAUCCUGAACUACUUGCCUGGUAAUGAUUAUAUCCCUCAAUUUAUCGCCAUCCCCGCCCUCGUACACCUGAACCCUUUCCGGUAUAGUCGUUUGAUCCUCCUGUGUGAAUACUGAAAGGAAGUAGUCGCUCAACAAUGUGCUCAUAUUUUCGUAAUUUUCUACUAGCUCCCCUGUGUUUGUUUUCAGCGGUCCAAUUAUCUCCCAUGUUUUUUGUUCUAUACAUCUGAAAGAAGCCCUUAAGAUUACUUUUUGCCUCAUUUGCUAAUUUGAUCUCAUAGUUCCUUUUUGCUAUCCUGGUGUUUUUCUUAACUAAUCUAGAUAGUUCGACGUACUGGCCCCUGAAAUGUGUUUCACCAUUCUUUAUUUUCUGAUAAAUUCCCUUCUUUAACCCUAUCUCAUGUUUUAGUCCACGAGUCAUCCACUUAGGGUCAUUGUUUUCUUUUCUAAGUGCUCACUGUGGUAUAUGCUGUCCUUGCCCCUCUACUAUUACUCUAAUUAAAUUAUUGUAAGACAUUUCUACCUGGUUCUCCUGGCUCUCCAAUCUGCAGUUCUGGCCCUCAUGAAUCCCUAAAUUAUCCCAGUUUAUCCCUUCAAGAUGUCUUCGAAGCCCCUCGUAAUUUGCUCUUCUAAAAUCAGGCACUAACACCGGGUUUGGUUCGCGGGUUACCGCCCAGUCUAAGAUAAAAUGAACCGUUCUGUGGUCACUAUUUCCUAACUCUCCGCCCACCUCCAACUCACGAAGCAAGUUCCCAUUAUUGGUUAGGACUAGGUCUAAUAUGUUAUCUCCUCUGGUAGGCCCAGUAACUACCUGCUUAAGGAAAUUAUCUUGUACGUACCAAGGAAAAAUAAUUGUUUAGCAAGUUCGCAACGAGUUCACUGUCAGUCACUAAUUCACCGUCACUGUUAGUUAAGUGUCCAAUACCACUUCUGAUUGCCUUCCUGUGGUUAAUAUAACUGAAAAAGGAUUUCCAAUUAUUUUUACAUUUUUUUCGUAUCUACGCUUUGCCUGACAUACUAGUCUUUUUACUUGCUGCCUGGCUUCAUGAUAUAGUCUUAAGUUUUUUGGUCGUGCUUUCCUCUUUCUUUAGCCUGUAAGACAAGUUUCUCUCCUUAACCGAAUGUUUAAUUUUGCUAUCAAACAAAGGUGGACUUUUACUAGUGUUACUUCGCUCCACUCAAAAUGGGAUAGAUGUGUUCUGCUGAGUGAAUAAAUGAUUUUUAAAGUUUAGACAGGCUUCCUCUACAUUGCAAUCAUCUGAUAGUUGUAUUUCUGUUAGUUUUUUAUCAGAUUUCUACGAAACUUGCUCUUUUGAAAUUGGGCACCAUUACUUUAUUUUCAAUCACUGUUGUUUGAACUGUAAUGUUGAAGGGCACUGAUUUAUGAUCGCAAGAACUGAGAUGUUCUACCAUUACAUUACUGACUAGAUUAUCUUCGGUCGCUAUGACAAGGUCAGGUAUUUUAUUUUGUCGAGUUGGCUCAGUAACCAUUUGACUUAGGUAAUUAUCUUCUAAAAAUUCGAUCGUUCUAUGUGACUCUCCUUCUGUACCCAACAGUGACGCCCAGUCAAUAUGAAGGAGAUUAAAGUUUCCUAAUAUCAGUGAAUCGCUGUCAAUAAGUGACUACCUUAAGACACUGUACAUUUCUGAUGUUAUUUCAACAUUAUCUUCGAGUGAUUGCCCCGGAGGCCUGUAGGUAACGGAUAUAUUUAGAUUAACCCGUACAGUACUAGUGACGCGCAUACGCAUCAGCGCCUAUGGUUGCAGGAAAUACUAGCGACGCGUAUACACGUCGGGGUUGCUAAACUCUGUUACAGUCGAUGUAGUGGAUUUAUUUUUGCUACAGAGACUGCUGCAGUCAAUGGCAACACUGCGCGAGUGCGUUUGUAGCAUUGGCAGCACUACCCAAGCUGGGAAGGAAUCACAAGCCACCUGUAACAUCAAGAUCAAGAUCAAGACCAAGUCUAAACAAUGUCGUGGCCGCCAAUUCCUUUUGCCAUAUGGCGAUAGACAGUGAGUUUGAUGUUUCCUCAUCUGAAGAAGACGUGGGAGCACUCUCAGACUCUGGUUCGGACAAGGAUUAUGUGCCAGAUGAGGAUGAUAUAGGCUAUAUUGAGCCGCCUUUGUAACAUGAGAUUCUACUGUCCUGAAAAUUCUGAAAAUCCCACUUAUACCUCAUGAAAUGAUGCUCUCUGGAGUAUUCUACACCUGUGUGCAACAAAAAGGGGCUACCUGGCCUCUAUCACUUGUCAAAUCCUCCAUAAACCAUCGAUCACGUACAGGGGCUGUUUCCAGCCAUACCGCCGUCUCCUGCGAAAAGUGUGUGUGGGUGUAGUGCGGCGACUAGGCCUGAUGAGUGAGCCUCCCAUGACCCACUUAGCGAGUGGGGUACCUCUUUGGCUGACUGAAAGGUGUGCAGCUGUUGAUGGUGGAUGGACCUGGUGAUGGAGAUUGAUGAAUUUCUACUCUGCAUCCUUUCUAUACUCUCAAGCAGACCAGUGUGGGGAAGACACAGAUGAAGCUUGUUGUCAUCCGUCUUCUUUGUGCCUGCAAGAGAAGCUUCGUCAGUUGAAGGCUCCUUUGUGUGUGUGUGGUGUGCAAGCCAAAACAAGCCAAAGAUUGUUUUGCCAUAGUAUAUAUUGUGACAACCUCUUGACAAAUUUUUGGUCCAUGUCCUCAUAACAUCUGUAAACUGCCCCAAUAAAUUAUGAUUUAUGCCAGAAAAAAUUUACUACUGCCCUCCCAGCAAAACAACUAAUUUUAAUUUAUUUUUCUCUUUUUACAGAAAAUACCUAAAGUAUAACUUUAAUUAUUAUUUUAGCAUUCCUUGUUUAAUAGCAAAUCAGUUUCUGAAUUUCCCAGAGAAUAGAGCAUAUUUUUUUCCUUCUCCAGAGAAGUCCAUUGAGUGGUAUAGCAGUAGUAGUGGUAGUUACAACUCUCGUUAAGUUGUACUGAAGAGCAAGGAUGAAUGUUGUGUCGGGUUCGCACAAAGUCAUUCGAGUGUGGCCUAAUGGCUGCCUGAUGAUGUCAAUAAUGCCCUUAUAGUGUGGAUGCAUCAAAUAAAGUAGAUCAUGGUAGUUUAGAUGAAGAAAUAGCAGAGCACAUCUGGCAACAAGAAUAUUGAUCCAUUUAAUCUUCACUCAUUCAGACCUUAUGGCACCUCUUUGUAAGACAAGUCACAUGGGGACAGAGAAGAAUAUGGAGGAGCAUGUAUAGUGAAUUUACAAGGGAGGAGAGUGACCUGCUGCAGUCCUGGGGCUACCAAGUUAAGUUUGCUGAAUAUAUUUUUGGCAACUACUGUAUGCAGAGGCAAUUUUUUUUUUCACAAUAAGGAAGGCAGCUCAUGAAAAAAAGAACCCCCUUUAGUGCUGCUCCCACAAAAAAAGAUAGUAGGAAUAGCCAGAAACAAGGGUCAGAUUCAGUUGAAUCAUGAUUAAUCAAUCAAUGGGGUUAUAUUCUGAGGGGCCCACCCUGUGCUGCUAAACCCCAGGGGAGGGGGGUCUCCAGGCAAGAUUUUAUUUAUUAUUUUUUCACAUUUGGCCUAUGGCGCUGGUAGGCUUUCUUGUUGGAGCCUGGUAGUUGGCACCAGCCUGUUGUGGUGCAGGCAAGUGUUUGUGGUAGCACCAUCUUGCUUGGCUCAUGCUGCCCCUUGAGCACAUCUUUAAUCCUCUUUUCGAGAGAAUCAAGAGUCCGGGUUGACAGAUGAGUAGUCUUAGGCCACUACAAACAUGAACAAACUGUACGGUUUCAUCUGGCAAGCCUCCAGACACCUGCACCUUGGUCUUAAUCCUACAGCAUUGCUAUAAGUCCAGUAGUGCAGCUCCAGUCUCUGGUACCAAGAACCCGCAAUUCUUAACCUCCCUGAUCUUGCAAAGUUCACGAGGAGAGAGCUGACAGUGUUCCUGCCACCAGAACCAUGAGACAAACACACAAGUCACUGCCAACCCUGUCAGUGGCAAGCAAUGAGUUUGUCCAAAGGGGGGGCAGGGCAGGUCUAAUAGAGCAGUUUCAUGUAAAACAUCUUCUCUUCACUUUCACAUAUCUCAGUAUGAGCAUACACUGCAACAAGAGACAUAAGUAUGUGCUUCAGCCUCACUCGCACUAUACGGCAUCAACCAGAAUAACUUCAACCACAAGUGGCUGCAGUCAGCUGGAGAUGGCUAUAGCUACCAAAAGAUCAGUCUCCACCUCCUCUAAAUAAUCGAGCCACUUACAACCACCCACUAUCCCAAUCAACAAGCAACCAUGACAGCAGGGUGGGUCUGGACCCCGCCUAUCAUAGGGAAGUGUUCAUCCUAGCAUAGAGGGUAUCCCACAAAGCUUUCUUGCCGUACAACGCACUGGGUGGCUGACAUUCUGCGUCCAAAUGCGCAGAUGUCAAGCCACCUGGCUUUAUUGCACCGAAUGCUGGGUAAUGGCUAAUCCGUGACCGUCACAUAAACCCAUCACCCGCAGGGGCAGGCAGGGCUGGUGGCACCGUACGGUUACCAGGUGCCGCACCAAGCAGGAUCUAUUAUAUGUUUUCAGUUAUGAUCUGCCAAGCUGGCAACAGCAUGGUACUAAUUAGUGUUUCUGUCCAUACGUUUAGAUGAAGUGCCCCAUGGCUGUGUCGCAGUCAGGCUGCACCAUGGAGUGAUAAAAGACUUGAGUCUAUGUUGGUGAUUAGCACACCCCAGUUGCGUGGAAAGGGUUUGCCAAAUGCAUUUCAAUGAAUAGCAUUCGCAGUAUCUCUCCCUGGAUUAUCGCAGUCCUGCUGCACCAUGGAGGGGCUGGUACUAAGAACUGGACAAUUUUUUGCGACAGCCUCAGGCCACAUCCCCAAACCCUUAGGCCCAAGUUGGACCGAGGAUACCUGUCAAGCUUUAAGCCCUUUCCAUUCAGUGGAUGUGCUGGCAGCCAGUUAUAUCUCCUAACUUCACUGGGUCACAUUAUCCUCUCACCAUUCCAGUUUGGGCCCAGGAAGUUAUCAGGACUUGCUUGGGUUUGCACUGUACACCUCGGGGCAGCCCUGCAUCACCUUGCCAUUUGCCAUACUGCCUUGAAUCUCAUCGUUUUGAUAUGUUCUGUAGCAGAGGUCGGUACGUUUAUGUGACAUGUACGUUCUGAGAGAAGUGACUGGCUUUAUUGCAGACCUUCGCACCAAGACAACAUUUUACAGGAGUGCCUAGCUCCUUUCCCAGGCAACAGCUUACAUUCCCAAUGGCUGACCAUUUGCACUGACAGAGCUUGGUCCUAAUCCAGAGUCUUCCGGGUAGUUGUCAUGCCUUUCUAGCAGGAGAUUGCACUUACCUGAACAAGCAAGUAUUAUGCCGAGGCACGCAACAGGUCAAGACAGGCUGGCUUUCUAGCAGAUCUCUGCACCAAGACUAAAGCUUUUGCAGGACCAUUUUACACAGCAAGGGGAGUAGACCCCUUCUGAGCUGUUUGAGGUGCUCACCCACGGCUUUAUCACUGCACAACUAUGGCAUCAGCUAUAACUUUGUUGGUUGCGAGAACUGUGGGCUGUACCACCUGGGGCAUCCAGGCAACCUGCCAGAGCGACAACUGUGAUCUGGACAAGCCGUACUCAUGGGCACCAUUGCUCAUGCCAGACCAAUAAUAGUAGGUGUACCCCCCACUAUAAUCUUGUCACUGCCAGGCCUUCUCAUCGCAGAGAGUCCUACUAUAGCCACCCUCAGUUUUUAUAUCAUUUGAUGGGUAGGGUAGUUGGCGAUCUGAUGAGAGGCUCAGGAAGUUUCAGGAGCCAACACGUAGAGCCCUCUCUUCCUCCUUUGAGAUGCAGGGAUCUCAUAGGCUUUGCAAUUGCACCUGUCGCUGAUAGCAGACUCGCCCAAUGCGGAUGCAUUGAGGAAGCCUGUGGCACAGUUAGGCUCCUUGGCAAAUUUUUUUCGGGGGGUACUGCCUGUAGUACUGUUAGGCUCUUGAGGGGUCUCUUCGACAACCCCCAGCCCAUUAAUGACACAGGUGAAUUUUACUUAUAGUGGCUGCCAUGAUAUGGGAUUUGUUUGAUUGGGGUCAAGGCUUGCACUGCAACCCUGACCUUUACCUUUUGAUUUGUUUUUGGUGAAGUGAGGGUUUUCUUGUGGGUGAAGGAAUGCAAACCCUUCCCCCAAACCAUCCUAAAUCAAGGUUUUGUCGGAAUCCUAACCCUUGGGCAGGGACACAAGACCCCUGAGAGGAUAAAUCCUCCAGUGUCUUGAUACUCCCCUAUUAAAAACCUUCAAGCCAUAGGAAGGAGGAAAUACAGAAAACGGAAGCUGUUCCAGAGUAUAUCAGUGGAAACUAAGAAUAUUGGUGCUGGCAAACCCUUGCAUAAGGGAUUUGGACAGCAUAGGGAUGAGUCAGUAGAGAGUCGUGUGCAGUGGGGUUGAAUGAGAUGUGGAGGGACACAGUUGGCAAGUUCAGAACAUUUAACAUGAAUAUAGUAACAGAAAGAGAAGCAACACUGUGGCUGAAUUCAAGAGUUAAGAUGACUGUCAGGAAGGGGAGGGGAGCUGAGGAGACGAAAAAUGUUUGAUUACUGUCCUAAGAGCUGUGUGUGUGGAACCCUCCACACAUUAAGAUGCAUACACCAUACUGGGGCAGACAAGGCUCUUGUAUAUGGUCAGCAUUUUUGAGGGGGAAAAGAACUAGUGGAGGCUAAACCUUGAAGGUGACUUAGCAAGAGAUGAGAUAUGAAGCUUCCUGUAGAGAUUUUAAGAUAGGGAUAGGUCAAGAAUGUUGUGU